GACGAACGCUGGCGGCGUGCUUAACACAUGCAAGUCGAACGGUGAAGCGCCUUCCUUUUUGGUGGGUGUGGAUGAGUGGCGAACGGGUGAGUAACACGUGGGUAACCUGCCCCCUUCUUCUGGAUAACCGCAUGAAAGUGUGGCUAAUACGGGAUAUUCUGGGUCUGUCGCAUGAUGGGUCUGGGAAAGAUAUUGUUUCGGUGGGGGAUGGGCUCGCGGCCUAUCAGCUUGUUGGUGGGGUGAUGGCCUACCAAGGCGGUGACGGGUAGCCGGCCUGAGAGGGUGGACGGUCACACUGGGACUGAGACACGGCCCAGACUCCUACGGGAGGCAGCAGUGGGGAAUAUUGCACAAUGGGCGCAAGCCUGAUGCAGCGACGCCGCGUGAGGGAUGGAGGCCUUCGGGUUGCGAACCUCUUUCGCCAGUGAAGCAGGCCUGCCUCGUUUGUGGGUGGGUUGACGGUAGCUGGAGAAGAAGCGCCGGCUAACUACGUG
rnacentral:rRNA from 1 species